AUAAAAACAUUUAGUGUGGAUGGUCGCAAUGUUUAGAUGCAAACAAAACAAUAUUAUUUAUAAAUGGAUUAUAUAUAUCAUCUAGGGAAAACAGUGUAAAAUGCGCUUAUUUUCGAGAUAGCACACUUCCAUGCAGACUGUUUUUUUAAGCAGAAGUUUGGUUUCAUAAGAAACACAUGCGUGAGUCAACUCUUGGUCCAAACUCCAAUCCAGACGGUGGCGGUAAUGUUCCAAAAGCUGGUUGCCAACCGCUAUGAUGAUCACAAGAAGAAAAAGAAGUUUGGCGUUUCAAAACAGUGGAUUCCGGUCAGAAAGACACACAUGAGGAAGCUCGACUCAGCUUGGCUUGCAGACAGAUGAGGACGGUGAUUGCCCGUCAUACACCUAAAGAAAGAACAGGGGCAUUAAAGACACAACUAUAGUGAACGUGAUGAAGAAAAAUUAUUUGGAACAAAGAGGCUGGAGAAAAAACUGAUAUGAAGAUUUCAGAAAUUGAUGCAGCACCGCAAGUACCAUCACCACCAAUGACUAUGGCAGGAUCCUUAAGAACACCAUCAAGAUGCACAGAUGCUGUACAUUCCAGUACACCUAUGAACAUUUACAGUCCUUGUUCAAGUGCAGUCGGAGAUCAAGACAACUUAUUGCAACUCGUCAUGUCUUUCACGACUGAAAAAAAGUUUUAAAAUCAUGUGACGUCAUAAAGCAGCAACUGUGCCUGAUUCUCACAAAUCAGCAAAACCAAAACAGACGUGAUGAAAUUCCAGAUGUAAACACAUUUGACCUUUCUUUGUCCAAUUUGAUUUGGAAAAACUUGAAAAUCAACUAAACGAGCAGCCCGAACAAAUGAAGAAACUGGUAGCCUACUUUGGAAUCAUUGGUGUUUUCCACUAAGCAGUUUGGUGUGUCCCGGGAAAGCUUUUGGCUCACUUUUUGGCUGAACAAAUUAACUGGAGCAGGGCAAACCAAAAUGUGGCCUUUCAUGCACUCUCCCUUACGACUGUCUAGUCAAUGUAGUGAGGAGAAAUGUCCAUACCACAUCACUGAUAAAGAAGUGGAAAAAUGCAUUACAAGGUGGCUACAACGUGCUCCUGACAGGGCUGGAGGAAGGAGGGAAGAAGAGAAAGCUAAUGUGUCAAAUGUCUACAUCAAUAAUUUAUUUUUUAAACAACAUUUUAAGUGUAUUAAGAUGUUCCCUGAUACUUGGG